rnacentral:tRNA from 1 species
CAGGAGAUAGUUUAAGUAGAAUAUCAGCUUUGGGUGUUGAUGGUGGGGUUGUGGGCCUCUCUCUUGA